rnacentral:misc_RNA from 1 species
AAGCAGCACAAAACAGACAGAGGUGAUGAGAAAAGUGAUACGCACAGACAAAGUGUUUUACGGGCAGCUUCUCUGAAGACAUUCAGCGCAAGGAUUAUAUACAUCUAGAUUUUCAUAACAAAGAUGUAUGUGCAAUUAUGCACACAUUUUAAAAGUAUGUCCUUUGCUAUGUCAUUUGUAAUGUUACAGACUAUUUUCUCUAAAAGUCUUUUGUUUAAUUUUGCAAAUCAGACUGUGAAUUGCAAAUUUGUGAAUGUUGAGUAUAAUUGAUACUGGUUGACUAGUGAUUAAAGUUACCUGAUCUGACUGUAUAGACCAUUUUUUAAAACAGAAAUUACUGGAAAAUAAUUUGAAAAAUAAAUAAAAAUGU